rnacentral:rRNA from 1 species
CCUACGGGAGGCAGCAGUGAGGAAUAUUGGUCAAUGGACGCAAGUCUGAACCAGCCAUGCCGCGUGCAGGAAGACGGCUCUAUGAGUUGUAAACUGCUUUUGUACGAGGGUAAACGCAGAUACGCGUAUCUGUCUGAAAGUAUCGUACGAAUAAGGAUCGGCUAACUCCGUGCCAGCAGCCGCGGUAAUGCGGAGGAUUCAAGCGUUAUCCGGAUUUAUUGGGUUUAAAGGGUGCGUAGGCGGUCGGAUAAGUUAGAGGUGAAAUCCCGAGGCUCAACUUCGGAAUUGCCUCUGAUACUGUUCGGCUUGAGAGUAGUUGCGGUAGGCGGAAUGUAUGGUGUAGCGGUGAGAUGCUUAGAGAUCAUACAGAACACCGAUUGCGAAGGCAGCUUACCAAGCUACUUCUGACGUUGAGGCACGAAAGCGUGGGGAGCAAACAGGAUUAGAUACCCGGGUAGUC